rnacentral:misc_RNA from 1 species
GGAAGUUUAUAUUUCAUAUGAUAAUGGCAAGGUACACAGGAGAGCAGGUAAAAUACAUAUAUUAGAUGAAGAAAUAUGAGCAAUUUUGUGCUCAUACAGAGAAAUAUAACUAGCAUAAAGCUACAUAGCGGACAACAAAAUUUGAGCUAGUGUGAUGAAAACUUCAUUUUUGCAUUCAGUCUUUCCAACCAGCUUGGCGCGCUCUGCGUUCCCAAAGGUUAGUCAACUUCAUUUCCUUGGCAUACAACACAACAGCUCUUUCUCUCCCGACUUCACAAGUUUCCGUUGUAGCAAUGCAUUUCUCAGCCUCCUUUUGGUACUCGGUAGCUAACCUCCUCGCCUCCACAAAGGUGAUGUUCAUAUGAUGGGCGUGCUCCUUGUCAACAGCCUCCUGCAGUUUCAGCUCUUCCGAUAAUAAAUCAACGAACUGUUUCUCCAUCUCCUCCUUAAGGUCCGGAUCAUCUUUUCCGCAGUCUGUGAUUGUAAGAUUCGCCAAGCCAGGAGCAACUUCAAGCAAAGAAAGAGGAGGAGAACAGUCACAUUUACAAGGCAUACAAGAUUGAGCAGCUUUAACUUUAAGUUUCUUGAACUUCCAAUAAAUAGCAGGACCAGAUACACAAAGAGCAGAAACUACAGCAAAAAUUACUAAACAACAUCUUAAGCAAUUCCCAGAUUGCCUUGCCAUGUUUCCUUUUUGCUUUGAGAGCAAAUUGGGAGUGAGAUCUACAAGGCAAAAUGGAUCUACUGUUAUGGGGUUAAUUGGGAUUUUUCAAAUUGUUAAAGAUGUUCAGCUGAAAAUAAGUGCUGAUUAAUUAACUAGUACUGCUACUUUCCAUCUACUUUCUUGAAGGUCUUACAGUAAAUUCCCACUCUGUUUUUUUUCUUUUUUUUGGUUGUCGGUUGUUG